GGAGCACGACGGCCGCGCCGGGCGGCACCAUCGGCGCGGGCCAACUGUGGCGCGAUCGGAGGCCCUCUUCAUGGAUUUGUAGCUGUACAGCCUGUGAUCUCCUGGUUGUCUUGUCUGCCACCGGCUGGGCACCCGCGCGCCCACCACCUGCUCGUGCAAAUGCGCGGCACAGCCCAGCACUUGCACCGCCUGCUGAUCCCGAUGCCGGCUACCUCCGGAUGCUUGCCUACUAGGAUCAUGUGCAGCGUUGUUUGUGGAGACAACUUUCUGAAAACCAGAGAUGCUAACCUGGCCCCAGAGGAUUGGCAUUAUUGCGCAAAUCAGGCUGAGGCUUGCGCUAGAUGAUUCAAAGGGUAGGGGCGGCGACUGCGAGCAUGCCUGAUGCACCUCCUCCUCGCAUGAGGAAAUACAGAGGUCGUGUGCUCCUUCUGAAGAAGGCGACAGCAGACCGAAGCCCAUUCACCCGGUGCCGGCUAUGGAUAACUUCAAUUAAAAAGAGCUUGGCUUUUUUGGAUGGUGGCGCCCGGCUUCUGCAUGGAGGCAUGGAUUGGUGCACACAGUCAAUACAUAACCAGGUUGGCUCACUCUAGCUUUAUCAUGCUCAACUUACUGCAGAUCUGUGUACACACGCUCCUAAAGUAGUGUUCAGAUUAACUAAUAACUCGGUCGGUACGCAAGGGGAUCCUCUUGGCAAAGCACCACAACAGUACAGUAUUUCCCGAGACAGAUAACCCCAGCCAUAUUGGGCUACUGGCGCGAGUGCGCGCUGCCGAAGUUGAAGUGCCGAGCCGUCUCCGGUGGCUUUCCCACUGCCUGCACCCACUUAUCGUGCACUGGGCAAUCAUAGCCGACGCACAAACAAAUCAGUUAGGGGAAAAAGGAGAAAAACAAAUGCUUGCAACGCAAAGGCUGUGCAACCUGCAAUCGAAGAAGAAAUCCAUUACAGGUCGAGCUGGGCCUAAUCGACUUGAUCGCCCGUCCCUUCUGACGUCAUUGAAUUACUACUACUGGCCAGGCCUGCUGGACGGAUCGGUUGGUUAAAUCAGAGACCACCGACUCACUGACUGACAGCGAAUGCAGGGUCAUUUUGUUGAAUUUCCAAAAGGAUCGCAAGACUUUUGUUUUAGUCCUGACGUAACCUUCAUAUA